ACACCUGAUUUUUUACCUAGAAUAGAAAACUUCCGAUCCCAAAAGACCUCGAUAAAAUAAUAUUUUCUAGGCCAAUGUAGAUACCUUUAAACAGGAAACUCUGGUUUUUUCAGGUUU
rnacentral:rRNA from 2 species